rnacentral:rRNA from 1 species
GACGAACGCUGGCGGCGUGCUUAACACAUGCAAGUCGAGCGGUAAGGCCCUUUCGGGGGUACACGAGCGGCGAACGGGUGAGUAACACGUGGGUGACCUGCCCUCAGCUCUGGGAUAAGCCUGGGAAACCGGGUCUAAUACCGGAUAUGACUCCAUGACGCAUGUUGUGGGGGUGGAAAGCCUUGUGCGGCUGAGGAUGGGCCCGCGGCCUAUCAGCUUGUUGGUGGGGUGAUGGCCUACCAAGGCGACGACGGGUAGCCGGCCUGAGAGGGCGACCGGCCACAC